AAUGAACGCUGGCGGCAGGCCUAACACAUGCAAGUCGAACGGAUCCUUCGGGAUUAGUGGCGGACGGGUGAGUAACGCGUGGGAACAUACCCAAAGGUACGGAAUAGCCUCGGGAAACUGGGAGUAAUACCGUAUGUGCUCGAAAGAGGAAAGAUUUAUCGCCUUUGGAUUGGUCCGCGUUGGAUUAGGUAGUUGGUGGGGUAAUGGCCUACCAAGCCGACGAUCCAUAGCUGGUUUGAGAGGAUGAUCAGCCACACUGGGACUGAGACACGGCCCAGACUCCUACGGGAGGCAGCAGUGGGGAAUCUUAGACAAUGGGGGAAACCCUGAUCUAGCCAUGCCGCGUGAUCGAUGAAGGCCUUAGGGUUGUAAAGAUCUUUCAGGUGGGAAGAUAAUGACUGUACCACCAGAAGAAGCCCCGGCUAACUCCGUGCCAGCCGCCGCAGUAAAAC
rnacentral:rRNA from 1 species